rnacentral:rRNA from 1 species
AAACUUAAAGGAAUUGACGGGGCCCGCACAAGCGGUGGAGCAUGUGGUUUAAUUCGACGCAACGCGAAGAACCUUACCUGGAUUUGACAUCCCGGGAAUCUUUCUGAAAGGAUUGAGUGCCCUUCGGGGAGCCCGGUGACAGGUGCUGCAUGGCUGUCGUCAGCUCGUGUCGUGAGAUGUUGGGUUAAGUCCCGCAACGAGCGCAACCCUUAUCUUUAGUUACCAUCAUUAAGUUGGGGACUCUAAAGAUACUGCCCCGGUUAACGGGAGGAAGGUGGGGAUGACGUCAAGUCCUCAUGGCCUUUAUGACCAGGGCUACACACGUACUACAAUGGCCGGUACAAAGGGCAGCCACUUAGCGAUAAGGAGCCAAUCCCGUAAAGCCGGUCUCAGUCCGGAUUGGAGUCUGCAACUCGACUCCAUGAAGUUGGAAUCGCUAGUAAUCGCAGAUCAGCACGCUGCGGUGAAUACGUUCCCGGGCCUU